rfam:Dipodomys ordii contig_8135, whole genome shotgun sequence.
GGGAAUGUGGCUUAGUGGUAGAGUGCUUGACUUGCAUUCAUGAAGUCCUGGGUUCGAUUCCUUAGUACCA